UAAGAAUUUAGCUUAAUUAAAGCAUUCGAUUUGCGUUCGAAAUAUGCAGGAUAAAGUCUUGUAAUUCUUA
rnacentral:tRNA from 1 species